UUGACCCAGGUAGUGAAAGUUUGGGUAUAGCUGUUUGUGUGGUUUUGAGUUUGUUAUUGUCAAAGCUCUGGUUGUUGUCAAAGUCUGGGUAUAGCUCUGGUUAUUGUUAUCAUAAACUCUCUCUCUUCACAAAUCAUGCGAUCAUAACAGAAUUAAUGGUUUGAAAUUGUUCUGAAUGAUCUGGAAUAGUAUGUUUCUUUUAAGCCCUCUCGUGUCAAGCAAAUGGAUUUUUGUCAUUCAUCUUGUUUUCUCAUGGUAGAGCACAAAGUUGCAUUUAGUUUCCUACAAUUUUCACAUCAUCACUAGCUGAAUUAUUUUUUAAUUGUAAAUUGUUUCAGGUGGCGGACAAUUUCUAUAGACCCAAUUUGAAGAAAGCAGCUCUUGCCAGGGUGAAUGUUGGUCACAGGAGUCUCAAGGUCUCCAAGUCUGGUGUCAAGAAGAGGAAUAGGCAGGUUGUCAAGACCCCUGAUCACAGAAUCAUUGAAAAGAUGUGGCAUCUCUGAAAGCUCAACUUAUGUGCUUGCCGCUUGUUUUAAUUCUUCUUCUGAUGAGAAUACUAGAUUGAACAAAAAGCAGUAGAGAAACUAUCAAUGGAAAAGAGAUUGAAUUGGAGGAGUUGGGAGGUAGAGUAGACCAAGCCCAAGUACAAAAGCACUAUAAGAUAACUAGCGUGGAACUAGGGAUAUCUUCUCUUGCUGAAGCCAUUACUUGAUGGAUUGCCUCUCGUGAUGCCUUGUGAGAAGAAUGAGGUUCAUGUUCUGGGAAUUUAGAGCUUCAUUUGAAGGUGGCCAAGGAAACAGAAAACCUGUAGCUUACUAUUCUUGUUUUAGCAAUUUCAAUUGUCCAGUGUAAUACGUAAGUAUACUUGUAGGCAAAUGUGAAAUUUGGAAAACGUGAUUAUGCUACCUAUACCCAACAAUGAACCAAUGACAAAAUUUGCUUGAAAUCGUGGUACUAGUUUAGUUGUGAGAUUGCUUGUAUGAGAAAAAUUCAAUUGUUGAUCAUUAUUGGUUUCUUGGAUAGUUGUAGACUUACAUAUCUAUUAGUGGGGAAGAUGCGUCAUCUUUCUACUAUGU